GUCACUUGAAGGGCUCAGGGAGUAGCUCUGCUCUCCUUGUCUCUCACCCCCUACUUCUGCAGUCCUCAUCCCAUCUAGUCUGAAGCAGGGCCGAGCUGGGCUACAGUGCAUCUGUCUUGAGCUGCAGAAACUUGACUCUUUAACUGGGACAGACAGUGCUGUCAAGAUAAAGCUUCCAAGGAUACAGCCUCUCCAGCACCUUAAAUUUAUCCAACAGACUUCUGCCAGUCUGUCUGAAAUAACAGAGAAGUAGAGGCGAUUCCUGCUCUUCCUCUUUGAACUUGGGCCAGCCCUGUGAUUUGCCUUGACCAACUGGACAUGGAGGAAGUGAUACUGUGCCGGUGCUUAGCCCGGCCUUUGAGAGGCCUGGCAUCUUCAGCUCUCUCUCAGGAGAAUACUUGUACCUGGAUCUUCACUAGGGGCAGCCAGGGCAGAAUGCGGUGUUCUCAAGACUUCCAUGCUGGGUCAUCCAUACCUUGUUGGACUUGAUAAGUAUCGUAACCUAAUGAAGGAUGCCAUUCUGUGCUCUGCAAGGCCUGGGGGAGCCCCAGUGGGAAGGGAUCCAGAUGGUGCUGGGCCUGGGCCAAAAGUGAAAUGGGGGAGGAUGGGUCCUUUCUCUCCUUUGUCCCUAACCUCCCCACUUCCUACUGCUGUCUGACUCAGAACCCUCAUGAAAAACCCAACUUUUUACACUGAUAUUUCCCAGAGGCCUAAUUGUGCAACAAGAAAUAAAAACACAAUUAGAGAACUGAGGUCCAGCAGGAAAUUCAUGUUACAUAAAUAAGACCUGGAGUGCGUAGGGGAGUGCCCCAGCUCUCAGCCUUGUUAGUAUUGAAGGCUCCGAGCACACAGAUCUGGGAUCCUCUGAUUUGGUGGAUAACCCUUGUGAACAAUAGUUCUCUGAAAAGGUAUUUGGAGGAAAGAGACUUUAUUCCUGUAAACAGUUUUCAAACUAGGGGAAUGCAGCUUUCAGUGUAAAAUGAAGGUGCUUUCCAGACAACAAAGGAGGGGCUGGGCUUUUAUAGAGAAAGUUCCUGCCCUGUUCCCACUCAGGUCCACUUAUGCAAAUAAAGGAUUCAAACUUGCUUAAUCUGAUUGGUUGAUGCUUGCUGAGUUCUGAUUUGUUGACACAGGUCAUAGUCUAUUGGUUGGUUCCGGCAACAUAAACAAGAACAGGAAGCUAUGAAAGUCCCAAAGUUAAGCAGAUGUGGGUUUUCUGGGAACUCAAAAACAUGUGUGACUUCUAGUCAGCAAGUUGCCGCUUGGCUCUAAAUUGAAUUUAGGUCCUGUUAGCCAGAGUGUGAACCUUGAGAGAGCCGGCCUUUCAAGGUUCACACUCUUCACAUGGGCUGGAGAGAUUCCUAUCAUAACUGAUUUAUCCAUUCACCCAUUGACAGGCACUUGGAUUGCUUCCACCUUUAGCGUGUUGUGGAUAACAUCAACACUGCUACAAACAUGGGUGGACAAAAGGCUAGUUCUCCUCAAACAUGGUGUAUGUAGCUGGAGGGAAAAUGCCAAAAGCUGCAUUAUGAGAACCAGUAAAGUCAAAACUGGAAAGAUGGAUCAAAGUGUGAUGUCUCCCUGAAGCCCCUCCUACUAGGCUUGAGGUGAAGGAGAAGCACAAGAAGAAAAGUGCCUCAGUGCUCCAACAACUUUUUCCAAAGAAGCCCUCUUUCUCAUUUCUGACUUUAAACCUUUUAAAACUUUGAUUGGCUUAGAGCUAAGGGUUGGAAAACAUUGUCACUUCCCUCCUUUGCAAGUCUGUGUGGAUAGUUCUAUGUUAUCUCCAAAGGUGGCCACCAUCAUUUCCUUCUCUCCCUAUAUGUGAUUUCCUUCUCUAUUGGCUCCAUUCAUCAAGAAGUAGAGGCAAUUCCUGCUCUUCCUCUUUGAACUUGGGCCAGUCCUGUGAUUUGCCUUGACCAAUUGGACAUGGAGGAAGUGAUACUGUGCCGGUGCUUAGCCUGGCCUUUGAGAGGCCUGGCAUCUUCAGCUCUCUCUCAGGAGAGAAUGCAGCAGGCAUGUAAGAAGGCUGAUGAAUCAGACCACCAUAUUAUGAGGAAGCCCAAGCUAGCCACAUGGAAAGGGCACACAAAGGAAAGCUGAGGAAUGAAACCAACAGAAGCGUCAAGUCC